AUUGAACGCUGGCGGCAGGCUUAACACAUGCAAGUCGAGCGGAGAGAGGUAGCUUGCUACUGAUCUUAGCGGCGGACGGGUGAGUAAUGCUUAGGAAUCUGCCUAUUAGUGGGGGACAACAUUUCGAAAGGAAUGCUAAUACCGCAUACGUCCUACGGGAGAAAGCAGGGGAUCUUCGGACCUUGCGCUAAUAGAUGAGCCUAAGUCGGAUUAGCUAGUUGGUGGGGUAAAGGCCGACCAAGGCGACGAUCUGUAGCGGGUCUGAGAGGAUGAUCCGCCACACUGGGACUGAGACACGGCCCAGACUCCUACGGGAGGCAGCAGUGGGGAAUAUUGGACAAUGGGCGCAAGCCUGAUCCAGCCAUGCCGCGUGUGUGAAGAAGGCCUUAUGGUUGUAAAGCACUUUAAGCGAGGAGGAGGCUACUUUAGAUAAUACCUAGAGAUAGUGGACGUUACUCGCAGAAUAAGCACCGGCUAACUCUGUGCCAGCCGCCGCCGUAAUAC
rnacentral:rRNA from 1 species